CAGAAAUAUAACAACAUAUUCAGUGUUCGUGAGCGCCGGUAACUAACUAUCAUAAAUUUUACUUUAAACCAAAUUUUGUAUUCAAACGAACAACAACGUGUAAGCCCUGUUUAUAUUAAUUUUCACGGAUUUUAAAAUAUAAACAUUUCAUUGCAGACAUGUUACAGAAAUAAAAUGACUCCUUACUAUAUAAAGCUCCUUGUGGAAAAGGCAUCCUUAGAAAAGCUCUUACGUACUUUGUGUGUGUGGUGUAGGAAGCUUAUUAUAUUUCAGAAUAUGAAAAGCUCUUUCGCUAAGAAAUUUUUUAAUUUAUUACUUUCCAAACAAACUCUAUGUUUCUUUUUAUUUAUUCUAUAAAAACAGUUAUUAUAAAUAUUUCUUCUUAAGUGGUCUAAUAUAAAUUUCUUUAAAUGUUUUCAAAAUAUAUUAAAAGAAUAUUCAACAAGUAAAUUGAUUUAGAGUAACUUUGAAAGUAAAAUAAAAAAAUAAUUUAAAUUUAUCUACUUUACUGUUACUGCUGGCCACUCAACUGUUAACCCACUCACUUAAUAAAGUUUUAGAACGAAAAUUGUGUGGUUAUCUUAACUAUCGUCGUAUUUUCCUGUUAGCCUCUGUAAAAGCUGUUCUGACACAACGAGGUAUUGCCUUUGCUUGUAUGUUAUCAUCAAUAGACAUUUGGUAAACUGGGCAGCAGUUCUCUCAAUUUUCUAUUGUUGAUCGUAUAAUUAUAUCAUUAGGUAAAAAAAUAAUGAUUAUAGAACUUGUAUAUUUUUUUUUAGCUAAAGCUGGUAAAUAUAUGUCUGAGUUUAUUAAGUUGAUUGUGACAUCUAUUUCAGCAAUUAUAAAAUUUGCUAUGACUCCAAAUAAAUUUCCUUUUUAAUGCUAAAACAUUCUUUCCCUGAAGGAUUAUAAAGAGGAUUUCUUCUGAGAAAAAUGCUUCCAAUAAGUUUAUGCAAUCGCCAUCGUAAAACGGAUAAAACUAUCUUAUUUAAAGGAUCUUUCUUUGUUUGAACAACUCCAGAAGACAUCGCUUGAGGUGGCAAACGAGCAGACGGCCUACUUGGUGGGCAGUAGUCACCAUCGCCCAUGGACAUCCACAACAUCUCUGUUGCGGAUGCGUUGGCCAACCUUGGUUGUUGAGGAAGAGGAAGCGGUGGGAAUAAGGAAAUUACAGGAAAGGAUAGGAACAGGGAAAGGCAACCGUCUCUGUCACUUAACGAACGAAACGCAGCCAUUAAAGACUACUUCUCGCCGAUCUUCUAUGAGAGGAGGUACUGGUGGUGGUACGAGCAAGCCCAUGUUCGAUCUGUA